CUCUCUUCUUCCCAAGAGUGUGUUAAAUUGAAAAAGCCUUGUUAAAAAAUGAACUUCACAUCAUGGAAAAAAUAUCAAGCAUCACAGAGUUUGUACAAGUGUCUCUGAACCAGCAACUAAAUUGACACGGCUGUAACAUUUCAUGGUAAUGAUUCCUGGGCUCAGUGCAGAAAGAAGACAACAGAAUUCCCUGCUCUGUUCCGCAGCGUCUCAAGGUAAGCCACCGCCUGCUGAUCCCUGCUGCCUCCAGGGGUUAUUUCAGUUGGGACUUUGGUAUAACGGGAUCUUUCCUCCACGUUUAUCACAUGGACAGUCUUCACCAGCCCGACCACCGCCCGGAGCUGCGUGUGCCAUGGAGGUCUCUGAUCCCUCCACAACAUUCCCUUUGGAGCAGGCAC